rnacentral:lncRNA from 1 species
UACCGGUCUUAGUUACAAGAACAUUUUUGAUGCUCAGCUAGACGCUGUUUUUUACGCCAUUGCCAAUCUGAAUUUCAGAACAACUAGGAACACAUUUGAUGCUCAGCCAGAUACUGUUCAUUUUACCUUGGCCGAUACUGAUUUGAUAAUAAGUGACAUUAUUGCUGCGGAAACCGGCUGGCCUACACGUGGUUCUAGGCGACCACAUGCAAGUACUCACAAUGCCAAGACUUAUAACUAUUCUGCUAGUCUUGACAGUGUAGACGACUACGCUAACAUUGACAAUGCCCAGACUUACAACACCAACUUAAUUAGUCAUGUUAUGGGUGGCUCCGGGACGCCUGCUAGGCCUGGUGCAAACCUAGAUGUGUACAUUUUCUCCUUGUUUAAUGAGAACCUGAAGCAAGGACCGGAAACAGAGAGAAACUUUGGUUUAUUUUAUCCCGACAUGACGAGUGUUUAUAACCUGGUCUUCCCUGGAAAAGGAACCGGAAGAAGCUGGUGCGUUGCUUCUAGACAGGCUUCAAAUUCGGCUUUACAGAAUGCGCUAGAUUGGGCUUGUGGUCCGGGAAAGGCGGAUUGCUCCGCCCUUCAGCCUGACCAGCAAUGUUUUGAACCAAAUAAUCUAGUUUCUCAUGCCUCUUUUGCAUUCAACAAUUACUACCAGAAAAACGGGCUCACUGAUCAAGCAUGCCGUUUUGGAGGAACUGGGAUCGUAGUCUAUAACGACCCUAGUAAGUCAAUUACUUUAUGCAGAAUUUGAUCACAAUAUUGCAUGAUAUCUCAACUCUAAAAAUCUAAAAAACUAUUUUCCAUUAUUUGUGCAGGCUAUGGUAAUUGCAUCUAUAAUGGUAAGUACAGAUUCUUAAACAUCUCAUGUACCAUACCUAUUUUUCUUUUGCGCCCCCCCCCCCCCACUUUCUAUUUUUGCAUAUUUGAUAUCAUUAGAGAAACUGGGAUUUUUUUAUUUUCACAGUAAAAAGUAGGGAUCCGAAUGGAAGAACUUGGUGCGUUGCUACUAGUCAGGCUUCUAGGUCGAAUUUACAGAAUGCAUUAGAUUGGGCAUGCGGUCCUGGAAAAGCUGAUUGUUCGGAAAUUCAGCCUAACCAGAGAUGUUUUCAGCCUGAUACUCUACUUGCUCAUGCCUCUUUCGCCUUCAACAAUUACUACCGGAAAAAUGGUGCUACAGAUGCUUCCUGCAGUUUCCGUGGAAAUGCAAUCAAAGUUGAUCGGGAUCCUAGUAAGUCUCUUGUUUGACCCUUCCAUUUAACUCAUCUGAUUUUCCAAACUGCAAACAGUUAUAUAUCUAUCUAAUUUAUUUGUGCAGGCUAUGGUAAUUGCAUCUAUCACUGUAAGUACAAAUUCUGAAACAUCCCAUGUUCCAUACACUGUCUAUUGUUAAUAUUAUCAUUACACGCUGAUUCCGUUUUUUUCGAUUUGUACAGAAGAGGACUUAUCAUAAGAAUAAAGUAGUUGUGAUUAUCGUGGGCGACCGCAUGAGCUAAGCUAAUGUUACCAGCGUAUAAUUAUUGCGAUUAUCACAUGAUUACCAAAACUGCAGCUUGUAAUACGACUACCAUUGCUACUUCUUUGUAAUGGUUUUCAUCAGUGAAUCUAUCAAAAAUAACGUUUACGGUUAAAAAAUAGGGAAUAGGAUCGAUCUCAUAAGGAUUUUAGAUUGCCCUUGUUUGAAUUUUUCAUAACCAGAACAUUUCGUGAACAGUUUAGUGCACACAACUCUUGCUCUCUUGGGUAAAAUAAGUAAAAGGAUUAAAGUAAUAUAAAAUUAAAUAAAUUAAAAUCAAACAUCAAUAAAAUAGUAAAUAAAAACCCAUGGUACUGUUCCCAACACCUCACCAAAGAUUAUUUUUGAAAUGACAUAAAAAAUAAUAAUAUGAGAUGGUCUUAUCUAUUUUUUAAACCGAAAAAAAAUAAUAUUCAAAUGAAAAGAAUUUAACUGUAAUUUCAGAUCUCCCAACUCAAAUCCCAAAAUUUAGUCAACUUUUAACUGAAAAUAGUUUAAUUGCUGAUAUAUAGUAAAAAAAUUAACAAAAAAAAUUAAGAAGAAAUAAAGCUAAAAUAAUAAAAAGAAAGAAACGGCAAGUAAGCGCAAGCUACAAUUGAAAAGCAAAAACCUCUUCCCCCAAAAAACAAAAGCAAGAAAAAAUGCACCCUUUGUUUCUUCAAUUUCCAGUAUUUAUGCUGAAAACUGAUACAUAGUAUUUACUCCUAUACAAAACUUUAAAGAUAAAGUUUAUCUAAAUAAAAUAUAAGGAAUAAAACUUAAUCCUAAUUAAAUUCUUAAUAAAUAUUUUUACAGAUAUUAUUUAAAUAAAAAUAAUAAAAAUAAAUAUUAUAUAAAAUAAUCUCAAAUCUUUCAUGUGACUUCAUAUUUUCACUUGUUCCCGACAUUUUGACUCUCUCUCUCUUGAUGUACUUGUAUUCAUUUAGACUUAUCUCUUUGUGCUCAUUUAAGGGUGGAGAAGAAAAGUGUCGCAGGGCAUGGGCACAAAUAUGUGAAAUCAGCCGGACUGAAUUUCAUAAGGUCUAUCAACGACUUGGAUUUCAUUUAGAGGAAAAAGUAAGUAAUGUCAAAUGUCAACCUCUAUGUAUUGUUAUAUUUUGGUCAGCUUAGUUAAUUUUCAGGUGCACUUCUACAUAAAAACUUCUCUAUGACAUUCAGGGAUCAUUGCAAAACUCCUUUUUUUUAUGAUUUACUUCGAUUUUUUCUUUAUAUCUUGGACCUAUUUAUAUAAUUAUCUUUAAUCUUGUACAAACCGUAAAUAUUGUGUUUAUUGAUUUUAACAUUUAUAUAAUUGACAGAGGUCUUGCUUAUGUGCAAUUGUACACCAUCAUGCUACUUUGACAUAUUCCACCAAGCUAGUCAAGUUUUCUACAACCUCAUUUUAGAAUGUUUUGUCCCUAGUGCAAAUGGUGCUCCUGAUUGACCUAUUUAUGAUUAUUUCCUUGUUGACAGGGAGAGAGCUUUUAUAAUCCUUAUAUUCCUGGGGUUAUAGAAGGGUUGACCAAACAAGGAUUAGUUGAGGAAAGUCAGGGAGCUCGUGUGAUCUUUAUUGAAGGCAUUAAUAUACCUCUUAUUGUUGUGAAGAGUGAUGGUGGUUUCAACUAUGCAUCAACUGACCUGGCUGCUCUUUGGUAAGUUUUCUUCCGUUAUUUGAUGUUACGAGCCUGUAGUUUUUGUUUGGCAUUCCUUGCCAAAUGUCAGAAUUAUGUGCCAGCCAAGUGAAUUACUGAAAUUACCCUGGCUAGAAUUACAAAAGUGGUUCUUGGUUCGAAAUUUCUUGAGCGUUUAAACUUUAGAUGAUAUAUUGUUUAUUGUUUCCUUUUUCAUGUUGAUCUCAUUGGGUACUCUGUUAGGCCAAUUUGUUUUGAUAAUUGUACUUUUUUACUAAUUAUGGAGCAAUCUUACUGCGUUGACAUGGAACAUGUUAGUCUAGCAUAGGAAUUAAUUAGCUUCCUUAUCGAUCUUUUUAGUUUCAAUUUUGUAGGUAUCGCCUCAAUGAAGAGAAAGCUGAGUGGAUUAUAUAUGUUACUGAUGUAGGCCAACAACAGCAUUUUGAUAUGGUGUUCAAAGUAUUUUCUCGAAGUUGUUUCUUGAAUUCUGUUGUGUAAUAUUUUAAAACCCUUUGUUAAUCUUAUUCAACUUACUGGGACUAUAUUGAUGUUUGUGAAUACCAUUAUAAUGAUCAUAAAGAGUUAUUCCGGCUUUUGACAUCUAGUCUUUUGCUGUAUAUUCUGAAACUAUUUUGGUUAUUUUUCAGGCUGCCAAACGUGCAGGGUGGCUUCCUCAAGGUGAUAAUUAUCCCAAAGCUAGCCAUGUUGGUUUUGGACUUGUUCUUGGAGAAGAUGGCAAGCGUUUUCGAACCCGUAACACUGAAGUAGUUCGUUUAGUUGAUCUACUUGAUGAAGCCAAGAACCGAAGUAAAGCAGCACUUAUCGAGCGUGGUAUGAUAUUGAACCUUAUCUCUGUUGUUACAAAUGUUUUUCAGCUCUUUUUAACUACCUUAUGUUUGUCAGUCUAUUAGUGAUGUAUUUGUUACUGCAAGUUCUUUCGGUUGUUAAAUUGUGUAGCCUUUGAACUUUUCAACCUCUUGUAUCUGAAAUUGUUACUUUGUGUGCCAAUCAGGUAAGGGUGAAGAAUGGACCGAGGAGGAGAUUGAGAGUACUGCUGAUGCAGUUGGUUAUGGUGCUGUAAAGUAAGCUACUUAUUAUUAUAUCAAGUUAUUUAUGUAAUCUAAUUAGUAUUGCUAUGUUCUUCUCAGUAGUUCUUGUACUAUUUUGUUUACUUUUUAAUAUUCAUUAAAUCUGAUUGCAGGUAUGCUGACUUGAAGAACAACAGAUUGACCAAUUAUACAUUCAAUUUUGACCAGAUGCUUAACGAUAAGGUGCCUAAUAGUUUUUUAUUUAGACUGCAAAUAUUGUGGAACUGGUUUCAUCAUUUUGGCCUGUAGUGAACUUUUUAUGAUGAAAGUUUCCCAUGUUUCUUCUGCUGCUUCUGAUUGUAGUUUUCUGCUUCUAAAUUUUUUUAAUGGCAGGGCAACACUGCUGUUUAUUUGCUAUAUGCUCAUGCUCGAAUAUGUUCAAUCAUCAGGAGAUCUGGUAAAGAUGUGGAGGAGCUAAAGAAUGUAAGUUCCCCCUCAAUCUGAAGAAGUACCGUUGUAAAUCUUUUAGUUGCCUUUUUAUGUAUUGACAUUAGUAUGCUGUUAUUAGGCUAAGUAGAACAACUCUUUUGUAUCAGAUUCAAUAGCUGCAACUUUUACCCAUUAUCUCUUUGUUUUUAAUAGAAGGGGACAUUAGUAUUGGAGCAUAAGGAUGAGCGCGAUUUGGGCUCCAUUUGCUGCAGUUUGCUGAGGUAAGAACUUAAGGAAAAAAAAGAACAAUCUAUUUAUUGUUUCUUGACUUAGGCUCGGUCUGACAAAUUUUUAUCUUGCUUUGAGGUUGUUGAGGAGGCUUGUACCAAUUUGUUACCGAAUGUUGUGUGUGACUACCUCUAUAGUUUAUCCGAAAUCUUCUCCAAAUUUUACAGCAACCCUGAGUGCAAGGUAUGAUCAACGAUCUAAUUAUAUGGUUUCUUGGUAAAAUAAACCUUGUUAUUGCUCGUCACCUUGCCCUCACAAGGCCGUUCACCUAGUGUUGAAACUAGGAAAGUUCUAAUGGCGGAGUGAUUCUAGGUAAAAGAUGUUGCAAUGAAACUUUGAGAUGACAUGUGGCAUAUAUUGAUGAAAUGAGCAGGUUAUCGGGUCAGAUAAGGAAACAAGUAGACUACUAUUAUGUGAAGCAACUGCAGUGGUUAUGAGAAAAUACUUCAAUCUCCUGGGAAUCACACCUAUUUACAAGAUAUGAUUGUACUUUGAAAGCUUUACAUAUAACCUAUUCUUGAGAAGGGUGGGUUAUAUAUUAGUUCAUAUAAAAUCCUAUGUACCGCGAUAAUUGUAUUCAGAUCUCAUUACUUUAUUUAUUUGGACAGUUUUGAUUGUACUUAUGUGUUUUAGCUAUGAAUUUAUUCAUACCUGCAGCAAUGUCUAAUUAACUAAUUUAUCUACCUAUUUGAAACACUAAUUGCUUUCAGCUGCUGAAGGAUUGUCAUGAAAUAUUAUUACUCUACUUCUUUUACUCCAAACCUUAAUAUUCAUGUUAAUAUCUACUCAUAUUUAUAUUAUGUAAUUGAAAUUGAUAAAUUAUUGAAAUGUCCUAUAUAUAUGGUAGCUAUAUUUUGUGGGAGCAUUUUUGUUUUUUAGAUUUUUAUAAGAAAUAAAUAGAAACUCAAUUAUGAUAAGAGGUGUUAAUUUUAAACAUUUUAAUUAAAUUAUCAUAAUUUUUAUAUUAUUUUUAACAAAUAAUUUUUUUUUCAGUUACAUUGUGAGUGUCAUAAUACAAUAUAUAUUUUAUGUCUUGACAUUUUUAAGAUGGAGGUCUUUAAUAUUUGAAUAUUUAAAAUCGAGUUUAAUGUAAAAUUUAUGUUUGUACGACAUAUAUUUGUAAUUCUACGAAUUAUAUUUAUAAGACAAUAAAACAAGUCGAAUAAAUAUAUUUGAACAAAAAGUCAACAAAACAACAGGAAGUGACUAGUCAGAAAUCUGGUGGCGUUCCACCCAAAAUUGAAAGUGGUAUGGAAUGAUAAAUCCACUUGUUGGUUAAAAAUUGAAGCUAGUUGAUGAAUAAUUAAGUGGAAUGGAAUGAUCAAAACUCACCCAACCUAACAUGGUUGGAUCCUAAUCAAUUCCCCAUUUUGCUAUUAAUUAAUAAUAAUACAUGAUUAUUCAUUUAUUUCCCAGCUGUACACUUAUACUGCUCAUUGAGUUAUCUUGCCCGCUUUAUUUAAUCCAAAUUAUGUCUGUUGUUUGGUUUAAGUUAGAUGAAUUAAUAAUAUUCAUAAAUAAUAAAGCAAACAAUAAAUAAGUACGUACCUUAUUACACAAUAAAAAUUUUUAGAUUACACAAGCAGGUUAAGGGUUUGCUAUAUAUAUAUAUUAUAGGGUGUAGUAAAAAAAUAAAAAAAAUAAUUUAGAUAAAAGAGUGAGUAUUUGGUACACUAGUAGCCUACUUUGUUUAUUCCACAAGUAAUCUUAAAAAAUUGGCAUGUGUCAAUUUUUUUUAAAUGUCUAUUUUUUAAUAUUAUACUAUACUCUUAUAGGACACUUGUUAGCCCCUUAACCCUAUUUGUGGGGCCUAAAAAUUCCAUUUGUAGUGUACUAAAUAUUUUUUCCUUAUGUAAAUUAAUUUGACACUUGUUAUACACUCAACCCAUUUGUGGAGUACUAUAAAAAAACUUCAUUGAUAGUGUAUCAAAUAAUAUAAAUAUAUAAAAAGAAGGGUUAGUAUUUGACACACUCUUUUUAAUUCUACAAACAAUCUUAAAAAAUUGUCAUGUGUUCUUUUUUAAGUGUUUUCUUAAUAUUUUAUUAUAUUUCUUUAUGACACUUGUCAAUCUUCUAACUUUACUUGUGGAGUUUAAAAACUUAAUUGAUGGUGUGCCGAAUUUUUUCCUUAAAACAAAUACACAAAACUAUAUUAUUAAUAUUAUUAAAUAUAUAAAAUUGAACAGUUUGAAAUGAUUUAUUAUACCAAUGAUAUAAAUGAACAUAAAUAAUAUUUUUUUUUACAAAAAUAUAAGUAAAUUGAAUAAACUUUGUUUAUGUAGAAUUCAUUUAAUAAAUAAAACUCAAGGUUUUGUACAUAUACACAUAUUUAAUUUAAUAAACAAAUAAGAGUAAUAAAUUAUUAUUCAAAUGCUUUAUUCAUUUACGAGACUAAAUUCAACCAUAAAUCGAUAAAUCGAUACAAAUAUGAUGGCAAAGGAAAGUAGAGGUAAAAGACACUUAUGACUUACCAUAUGAUUUUAAGAAAACUGGCUUCCUCGUUUCGGUUUUAAAAUAUAUUUUAUAAUUUUUUAAAUAAAAAUUAAUUAUGUUCUUGUUAUAUUGCUAUUUAAUUUAUUCAAUUCUUUAUUUUUAUUUUCAAAAUAAUAAAAAUUUAAUAACAUAUCAAUUAAAUGUAUUUGCAUAACAAAAUGUAAAAGAGAAGACAAAAACAAAAACAAAAUAUAAUUAUCAUUGAUAUUAAUUUUAUAAAAAUAAACUUACAACCAAGGAUGCCUUAAUGGAUAUCAAGAUCUCGGGCUCACUCUUUGUAAACCGUAUAUUUUGAUCUAGAUUUAAAUAAAUUUUGGUUGUCAAAUGAUAAGUUUCGGUUCUAAUUAUUUGAAAGUAUUUUUUGUAAUUAUAAUUGUGAUUACACCGCUAACAUUUAAAAAGAAAACCCUUACAUAUAUUAAUUGAAAAAUACAUUAAGUUUAAUGAGCUAGUAAUAUUGUAGUGUAUUUUUUUUUGACAGACAUAAUUAAAAAAUUACCAUAUGUCUCAUUUUUUGUUAGUGAGAUAACCACAAAUCCCGAACAUGGGCUUGAAGAAUACCAAAAUAAAUUUGGAAAAACCAAAUUUAAUUAUCCUAAGAAGGAAGCAAAUAAAGAAGUUGAGUUGAUGUAGAAUGGAUAUUUUAAUAUCUCCAAAAAGGAUAUUAAUGGAGGAUAUUGUUGAAUGAAAUGAAGUGGGUGGGCCGUGGUGUGAACCAUUUUCAAUUUUGUUUAGUAGUAUAAGCAUGAAAUAGAUGGACGUAGUUUCCUCUCAACUUGGUUCUUUUUCUCUAUAAGAAGCAGCUUGGAAUCAGAUAUUGGCAUUAAUUACUAAAAAAAUCUUUAAUGAAGAAUGGCUUCAACAUUCAAGCUCGUCUUUGCUGUUCCUUUGUUGCUUCAGCUUUUAGGUAUCUUCUUCUUCUUCUCUACAUUAUGUGUUGUAUUGCUUUGCUAUUCAUCUCGGCUUACGCCUUUGUGUAUAUAUAUAUCAGGCUUUAAUCUCUGAUUUUGAGUCUGCUUGUUUUGUGCUUCAUUCUUUUUCUUGUAGUUAAUAGGAAGGUUUAAUGGUAGUAACAGAUGGUAGCAUUGUUGUUAACGAAAUUUUAUUCAAAAACAAUCAGAAGAGUGUAAGGUUGGGUACACUUAGAUGUGUAUUAUUGAUGUCAACAAUUUUCUCUUGUUUUUAGGAGUUAUUAUUAUUAUUAUUUAAGAAAUAACUUAAUAUAUUUAUAUAUAUAUGAAACAAAGAAGUAAGAGAAGAUGGUGAAAAUGUUAGACUAAUGAUAGUUGAGAAAAAAUAGUCAAAAUGUUUAAGUAAACAAUCAACACCAUGAAUCAUAAACAUGGAGGGUCUCAAGCCAGACUUAUCAAUUAAAAUUCUCUUUACUAUUGUGAACUAAAUAAAAUGCAUUAAAAAACAAAUUUGUAAAUUUAUAUUCAAUAUUAAUUCCGGCAGCUCAAUUUUAUGAUUGUAGCAUUGUUGUUUGUAAAAAAUUGAAUUGAAUAUAUAAUAUAUUUUAAAGGGUUGGUACAUAAAUUUCAUGUACCAUCGAUGAAUAAUAACAUAACACAUUAUCAUUAAAUGAAACAAAAAUAAUGGAGGACUUAUAAAAUGUACACUAAUAACUUUAUUUAUAUAAUUAAAUAAUAAUUAAUUAUAAAUAAACCCUAAACUUGAGACCUUCCACCUUAAACUCGAGACCAGAGACCUUACACUAUAAACCAACCUAAAUUUGAGAGUUAUUGAUAUUUAUUUAUAAUAGUUACGAUUAAUUAUGUUUAAAUUAAAUUAUUAAUAUUUAUUUAUAAGUCUUCUCUAUAUUUUUUAUUUAAUUUAAUGAUGAUGUGUCAUACUAUUAUUCAUUGAUGGUGCAGAAAAUUUAUGCACUGACAAUGCAUCAAAUAUUACUCCUAUUUAAAAAGUGUAAAAAUAUAAUUUAAAGAAUUUUAAACUUAACCGAGAUUGAAAUAUAAAAAUAUGAUUAAAUUAGAAAAAGUAACAUACAAAUAACAUAAUUGAAAUAUUCACAAAAAAUGCAUAAUUUUUUUUUGAAAAAAUUUUGCUAUUAGUCAUUGUGUUAUACGAAAAUUAUUGAUUUAAUCCAUCUAUUUUAUUUUGAUUUUAAAAAAAUAUAUUUACUUCUUCAAUUUUGAAAUUUCAAACUUAAUUAUAGCUGUUAAAUGCUAUAUGUUCCAAAAAAAUAUAAAAAAAUGAAAUGAUUAAAUUAAAAUUUACACAUAGAAUUUAACAUUUUUUUUGUUGGCUCUUGUUACUUCCUAUCAAAGGGGAAUAAGCAAAGAAUUUCGUUCGCCAUAUUUGAGUGAGAUUAUUGAUGUAAGAAGCAGUGAUGACGAUGAUAAGCCAAUUGCUUACUAUACUUUUCCAUUUCAUUGCAGAAAAGAAAUGCAGUAUUUUUGUUUUUGCCUUAGGAAAAUACGUGCUAAUCGUGUUGUUUCAUCUUUAUUUCUACUGACAACUUAAAAACCGGUCAAUUUCGCUGUCCAGAUUUCUGUAGGGGAGGUAAAGUUGGAGUUGACUACGGAACGGAUGCUAAUAAUCUCCCAUCACCUGAUCAAGUAUCAGAUUUGGUUAAAAAACACAACAUUCAAUACCUCAGGAUUUAUGAUUCUGAUCCCAAAGUGCUGAAAUCCUUGUCAAACACUGACAUUGAACUUAUAGUAGGAGUUCAUAAUGAUGACUUAUCCAAAUUCCAGUUCCAAUCUUAUGUAGAUUCCUGGGUGAAGAACAGCAUCCUCCCAUACUACCCCGCUACAAAGAUCACCGACAUUUCUGUAGGUGUUGAAGUGACUGAUAGCCCAGAUGCCGCCAACUUAGCUGUGCCCGCCAUGAGAAAUGUCGUUUCAGCGUUGAAAAAGGUUGGCCUGCAGGAUUGGAUCAAGGUUUCAACUCCACUCUCCUUUGGGGUUUUAUCCAAAUCCUACCCACCUUCCGAUGGGGCAUUUGACGGUAGCCAUGAUAAUGUCUUGGGACCUUUGUUGGACUUCCUGGAAGAGAACCAAUCACCGUUUAUGGUCAAUUUAUAUCCUUUUUACGCUAUUGGAGAUUCUUCUUUGGAUGCUGUUCUGUUUAAGUCACCCUCUACGAUUUUCGUAGAUCAGAAUACCGGUCUUAGUUACAAGAACAUUUUUGAUGCUCAACUAGAUGCUGUUCAUUUCGCUUUGGCCAAACGGAAAUCCAGAAGCAUACCGAUUAUUGUUACGGAAACCGGCUGGCCUACGAGAGGUUCAGGAAGACAUAGGUUAGCGAUGGCUAGUCUUGACAAUGAUGACGACUCCUACGCUAGUAUUGACAAUGCCCAGACUUACAACACCAAUUUAAUUCGUCAUGUUACGGAUGGCUCUGGUACGCCUGCUAGGCCUGAUGAAGAGCUAGUUGUGUACAUUUUCUCCUUGUUUAAUGAGAACCUGAAGCAAGGACCGGAAACAGAGAGAAACUUUGGUUUAUUUUAUCCCGACAUGACGAGUGUUUAUAACCUGGUCUUCCCUGGAAAAGGAACCGGAAGAACUUGGUGCGUUGCUUCUAGUCAGGCUCCUAGGUCGAAUUUACAGAAUGCAUUAGAUUGGGCAUGCGGUCCUGGAAAAGCUGAUUGUUCGGAAAUUCAGCCUAACCAGAAAUGUUUUCAGCCAGAUACUCUACUUGCUCAUGCCUCUUUCGCCUUCAACAAUUACUACCAGAAAAAUGGUGCUACUGAUGCUUCCUGCAGUUUCCGUGGAAAUGCAAUCAAAGUUGAUAAGGAUCCUAGUAAGUCUCUUGUUUGACCCUUCAAUUUAACUCAUCUGAUUUUCCAAACUGCAAACAGUUAUAUAUCUAUUUAAUUUAUUUGUGCAGGCUAUGGUAAUUGCUUCUAUCACUGUAAGUACAAAUUCUGAAACAUCCCAUGUUCCAUACACUGUCUUGUCGCCCUUUCUAUUGUUAAUAUUAUCAUUACACGCUGAUUCCCUUUUUUUUGGAUUUGUACAGAAGAGGACGUAUCAUAAGAAUAAAGUAGUUGUUGUGAUUAUCGUGGGCGACCGCAUGAGCUAAGCUAAUGUUACCAACGUAUAAUUAUUGCGAUUAUCACAUGAUUACCAAAACUGCAGCUUGUAAUACGACUACCAUUGCUACUUCUUUGUAAUGGUUUUCAUCAGUGAAUCUAUCAAAAACAACUUUUACAGUAAAAAAAUAGAGAGUAGGAUGAUCUCACAAAUAUUUUAGUUUGCCCUUGUUUGAAUUUUUUCAGAACAUUUCGUGAACAGUUUAGUGCACACAACUCUUGCUCUCUUGGGUAAAAUAAGUAAAAGGAUUAAAGUAAUAUAAAAUUAAAUAAAUUAAAAUCAAACAUCAGUAAAAUAGUAAAUAAAAACCCAUGGUACUGUUCCCAACACCUCACCAAAGAUUAUUUUUGAAAUGACAUAAAAAAUAAUAAUAUGAGAUGAUCUUAUCUAUUUUUUAAACCGAAAAAAAAUAAUAUUCAAAUGAAAAGAAUUUAACUGUAAUUUCAGAUCUCCCAACUCAAAUCCCAAAAUUUAGUCAACUUUUAACUGAAAAUAGUUUAAUUGCUGAUAUAUAGUAAAAAAAUUAACAAAAAAAAUUAAGAAGAAAUAAAGCUAAAAUAAUAAAAAGAAAGAAAACGGCAAGUAAGCGCAAGCUACAAUUGAAAAGCAAAAACCUCUUCCCCCAAAAAACAAAAGCAAGAAAAAAUGCACCCUUUGUUUCUUCAAUUUCCAGUAUUUAUGCUGAAAAUUGAUACAUAGUAUUUACUGCUAUACAAAACUUUAAAGAUAAAGUUUAUCUAAAUAAAAUAUAAGGAAUAAAACUUAAUCCUAAUUAAAUUCUUAAUAAAUAUUUUUACAGAUAUUAUUUAAAUAAAAAUAAUAAAAAUAAAUAUUAUAUAAAAUAAUCUCAAAUCUUUCAUGUGACUUCAUAUUUUCACUUGUUCCCGACUGUAACACCCCAAUCGCCGGGUUUAAGUUACAAUAUGUUACAUUCGUUUCUGGAACAAUUACAAUUAAAGCACGGACAAUUCAUGGUAGUCAAUAAUAAAAAUUCAGUUAAAACAUACAUUUGACAUGAAAUAAAGUCAAUCAUAGGUCUUAUACAAUCUUACGUAAGUUAUAGAGUUGACCCGAGCUAAAAUCAUAGGAUCAACGUCGAGACGACGAUGAACAAUUUGUCACACAUCAUGACGUCAAGCCACUUGAUGUUGCAACGUCACUCACUGUAAUGGCCUCGUCGAGACAACGAGUCUCUCGUAGCACUUUGACCCUAUAAGUCAUUCCUCAUCGUAACGAUGUUUGAAUGAUGUCACGACCACACAAGCUAUUUUGGCCAAAAUGUACCAAUUAAUACCUAUUGCUAACCUUUUCACAACCUUAUAUCAUUUAUACCCAAAACAAUCCCUCUUAACCUGUAUUAAACAUCACAAGACAUGCAAAACAUAGUAGAAAUGCAACAACUGAAGUGGUUCGAAUUAUAGAAAUACAAACCAUAAACUUUGAGCUAUUUGUGAACGACUUUAACUUUUCCUCUCCCUUUCGAGGAUUUCGGUUCGACGUUAGCUACAGAUUAAUAUAAACACAUAAUACCAUCAAUAUACGACCAAAUUCACAAUCAAUUGUCAUUUUAUACAAUCUUUGCAUUUUAUUUAAUUUAGUCCGUAAAAUCGGGACUAACAUAACUUCCAAUUUAAAACUCCAAAUUAAAAUCCGAUUUCACUAUAAUCCAUUUGGGACCUCCUAUUUCUUAUUUCUAUAGUAAAUUUUACAAUUUAUUUAGUUUAGUCCCUAACAUACGAAAUUAUCAAUUAAUUUUACAAUUUAUUCUUUUUUCACUAUUAAGCUUAAGAUUUAUUAAUUUAACACCUAAAACUUUCAAUUCUCAACUAUAGCAACUUUCAAAAUUUUAACAGUUUUACGAAUCGAAAUAUAAAUUAACUAGAUUAAACUUCUAAUAUCUCAAAAAUAAAAAAAUUAUAAGAAAAAGACUGGAUUGUAUUAACCAGUUAAAGCUUCCUAAGAUUGAAACCGUGAAGAAAUAUAGGUAAACUAGAGAAAACUUAUGAAGAAAACUGUUUUCAAUUUAAUUCUUUCUUUUUACUUAGUUCAAUACAACGUCAAAUGAAUAUAUUUAUAGGAAGAAAAUAACUUCCUUGCGUAACAAAUUAGCUAACAACUCAGCAGACCCUAACUACCUCUCUAACAGAUACUAUCUUUAACAUGCAUCCAUCUUCUCUACUGAAACAACCCGAAGAAAAUUUCUAAACCGAGUGAAACACAAAACAGAGAGUGGUUUAGUUAAAACAUCAGCAACUUGAUCGGACGCAGGAACUUCCCCGACCAAAAGAGAACCAUUGGCAACCUUUUCACGAACAAAGAAUAGAUCUAACUCCACAUGUUUAAAUUUGGAGUGUAACACAGGAUUGGUAGCAACAGCUACUGGAGCUAUCACACCAAAUAUUGGGCUGAGUAGUCAACCCAAUAUGUAACUCCUGAAGUAACGAAAGUAUCCACAAAACAUCACUAGUGACAGCAGCCAAACUUCGGUAUUCAGCUUCAGCUGUAGACCGAGAUACCACCUACUGUUUCUUAGAAGACCAUGACACAGGGUUGGACCCAAAAAAUACACAAUAUCUUGAAGUAGACCGCCGAUCAUCAAAAUUCAACCCCCAGUUUGCAUCCGAAAAACCAACUAGAGACAAAGAAAUCUUUAACAAACCGUUAUGGCCGAAACUUCUCUUUUCUUUUGUCAAAUUCAGUUGCACGAGGAAGAAGGAAGAAAUGCCUUGUCUUUCCUUCCACCACACUUUUAUCGUACAUUAUUUUAUUUUUAUUACAAGUUUUAUAAAUUUUAUAACAUAUUUCCUUAUAUAAUUAUAUAGCCACCGUACACUUUAAUUCUUAAGUGGUAUAAUUUUCACUUUAGUCCUUAGUUCAUGUAACUAUGUAAAUAUUUAAGAAACAUAUUUACGAAUUUAGUUUACGAAAAUGAGAUCCCGAAAUCAUAUUUUUCGAUACUACUGACUUUUAGAUCGAUACAUUCACUGCACUUACAUAAAAAUUAGGCAAUAAACACCAAAUUUAGUAGCUUUGUGUCUAAAAUUUUUAUCAAAAUAAAGCACAUAAAUCUGUCAAUUUGGCACAAUAUCGAAUUUUUUAGUCUCUUUUUUGUCCAAAGCUAAGCAACGUGUUAGAUGUAUCAUCUGGAAAGUAGUUGACAAGUUUGAAACAUAUAUAUUGAAAGUUGCUUCUAAUUUUUGUUUGGUGAUCAUUAAUGCUUUAUGAGACACUGAAUAAUUAUGAGAAUGUAUGAUAUAUAUAUUGUCUAUCUUAUAUUACGUUUUACUCAAGCUAGUUAAAAUGCCAAUGGUUCCUUUCUUAUCCGAAUUUGUGUUACUAGGAUCUGAAUAUGCAUGUUGGUAGUAGAAGGAUCUGCACUUGACCAAGCGUAGCUCGCAAGAUGUAGUCUCCAAGAAAGUUUAAACCCAUGAUUACUUGACGUGACCACGUAAUUUUUCAUAUCAAAAUAUUCAUGUCGACUUCGAGACCCUUCAACCUUCUCUCUUGAGGCUCCGGUCUAAGUUCAACUUUUAUGAUCCAGAGUCAAUAUAUUCCUCUCUUUAUACAUACACAAGUUGAUGAAACAAUUUAAUGUAAUACAAUUACGUGGGGGAAGCAAUGCGAAGUAUCAAAUACUUCAUCGACCUUGGUCUUUGGUCUUUGGUCGUUGUAUCUAAAAAUCAAUUUAUUUUAUGUGGCCAUGAAUUUCCCAUCUAGAGGCUAGCUUUUCUCUAUAAGAAAAAGCUUGGAAGAACAUUAUUUGGCAAUAACUAAUAAAUUUUCAUGAACAAUGGCUUCGGGAUUCAAGCUUGCGUUUGCACUCUCUCUGCUGCUUCAACUGUUAGGCAUGUCUUCUUUUCUGCAAUUAAUAUCUGAAUUGGCAAAUAUGCUAUUGUGAUCUAGUGGGUGAUUUUAAAUUCAUUGGCACCAUGUUUAGGAUUCUAACUUUACGUAUAAACUUAAUACAAACUUAAUAUAUAUAUAUAUAUGUGUUAUAAAAUAUUUAUAUUAAUUCAUUAGUUGAUACCUCUUAAAUGAACACAGAGAGAAGAAAGACUCAACCCAUUUAAGGGUCAAUGUAAUGAACCCAACUCUUACUCCUUUUCUACAACGCCACACAAGUAAACGAAACAAUUUAAUAUUGUGAGGUCUUUGGUCAAUGUACCUUUAACAAAGAAGAUAUUUUUGGCAGUAGCUAUUAGAUUUCAUAAACAAUGGCUUCAGGAUUCAAAUUUUUAGGCAUCUUUUCUUCUCUUCAUCGUGUUUGAUUCUGGAAUUAAUACUACACUCACUUAACACUGCUUCAGUUUCUGCUUUAUUUUCUUUCCCAUAACCCAUUUGUUUCAGCUUUUCUCUAUUCAUCUUUGCUUAGGCUAUUUGCAUUUUUCAGGCUUUUAAUCUUUGAUUUUGAGUAAAAAAAGCUCAGCUUUUCACAGCACUCUGCUUGUCUUGUGCUAUCAUUCCAUAAGCGUUGUUGUUUUCCAAGACUUGAAUUGAACAAAAACAAUGUAUUUAAAAGUGUGAUGAGAAAUGUUACAAGAAUUCUAUGAAAAAGUAGUGUGGGAAUUGAGAUAUACAAAAAUAUAUUGAUUAAAAUAAUGCAAUAUUCAUUUUGUCCCCCAAGGAAAAAACCAACUAAAUCACGAAAACUUGUUAAAACCUUUUCUUUUUCCUCUAAAUACUAUGUUUUGGCCGUGGAAAAUACAUGUUAAACGUGUUUUUCCCAUAUGUGUUACACGAGAAAUUUUUACUACUUCAUCUUCCGCUCUAUCUUUUAACUAAUGAAGAGGUUGCUCAAUUUCAUGGGCAGAUUUCUGUAGGGGAAGCUAAGUUGGAGUUGCCUAUGGAAGGAAUGCUAAUAAUCUUCCACAACCUGAUCGAGUAGCACAAUUGGUUGAAAAACAAAAUAUUCAGUACCUCAGGAUUUCUGAUUCCGAUCCCUAAGUGUUGAAGGCCUUUUCAAACGCUAGCAUUGAACUUAUGGUGGGAGUUCGUAAUGCAGACUUAUCAGCAUUCCAGUCCCAAUCUUAAGUAGAUUCCUGGCUAAGGAAUAGCAUCCUCCCAUACUACCCAGCCACAAAUAUCACCCACAUUACUGUUGGUGUUGGAAUGGUUGAUAGCCUGGACGAUGCCGCCAACUUGGUUGUACCCGCCAUGAGAAAUGUCGUUUCCGCAUUGAAAACAGCUAACCUGCAAGAUAGGAUCAAGGUUUCAACUCCACUCUCCUCUGCAGUCUUAUCCCAAUCGUACCCCCCUUCCGAAGGGGCAUUUAGCAGUAGCUAUGAAAAUGUCUUGCGACCUUUGUUGGAUUUCCUGGAAGAGAACAAAUCACCUUUUAUGGUCGAUUUAUAUCCUUUUUACGCUAGGAAUGGAGAUUCUUCUUUGGAUUAUGUUCUGUUUAAGUCAACCUCUUCGAUUUUCGUAGACCCAAAUACCGGUUUAAGUUACAAUAACAUUUUUUAUGCUCAGCUAGAUGUUUUUCAUUUUGCUUUGGCCCAUCGGAAUUUUAGCAGAAUGAAGAUUAUUGUUACAGAAACUGGCUGGCCUACGAGAGGUUCACCCUAUGCUAGUAUUGACAAUGCCCAGGACUUACAACACCAACUUAAUUCGUCAUGUUAUGGAUGGCCCUGGUACGCCUGGUUGGCCUCAUGAAGAGCUAGUUGUGUACAUUUUCUCCUUGUUUAAUGAGAACCUAAAGCAAGGAAACAGAGAGAAACUUUGGCAUAUUUUAUCCGGACAUGGCGAGUGUAUAUAACCUGGGCUUUCCUGACGAAGGAGGAAGAAGCUGGUGCAUUGCUUCUAGCCAGGCUUUGGAUUCGGAUUUACAGUAUUUGCUAAUUUGGGUUUGCAUUCUGGGAAAAGCGACUUGUUCGGCAAUUCAGCCAGGCCAGCAAUGUUUUGAACCAGAUACCCUAUUUUCUCAUACCUCUUUCGCCUUCAACAAUUACUACCAGAAAAAUGGGGCCACCGAUGAUGCAUGCAAUUUUGGAGGAACUGGGAUCAAAGUUUAUACGGACCCUAGUAAUUCAAUUACAUUAUGCAAAAUUUAAUAACAAAAUUGCAUGAUUUCUCAAGGCUAAAAAACUUUCCAUUAUCUGUUACAUUUAUUUGUGCAGGCUAUGGUAAAUGCAUCUAUCACUGUAAGUAUAAAUUCUGAAACAUCCUAUGUACCCUACACGUUGUCUUAUCGCCCUUUCUAUUGUUAUAUUUCAUCAUUACAUGCUGCUUCCGUUUUUUCGAUUUGUACAGAAGAGGAGGUAUCAUGAGAAUAAAGUAGUUGUUGUGAUUAUUGUGGACGAGUGCAUGAGCUAAGCUAAUGUUACCAACGUUCAAUUGUUGUGAUUAUCAUGCUGGACUACCAAAUUAAACUGCAGCAUGUAAUACGACUACCGUUGCUGCUGCUACUUCUUUUCUCAAUACGGUCUGAGGUGUGCACAUGGAUAUUGCUAGCUAGUUUCUUAGUGAUGGUUUUUUAGUUUCUCAAGCUGGGCAACUCGUUAGAUGGAUCAUCUGGAAGAUAGUUGACUAGUUUUAAACAUAUAUGAAGGUUGCCUCUAGUUUUUGUUUGGUCUUCAAUAAUGCAUGUAUGUGGUAGAAUAUAUACACUAGUAUGCUCAACUUUUUUUGAUUUGUUUCAUGUUUUUGACAAUUCUUCAAAUUUUGGUUAAGGAGAUUUUACAAUCGGAUAGAUAUGUUUUUAAAAUUGUUGUUUAAUUUUAUUCUUUUUGAUCAAGACUGUUAUACUUUCUACUGAAAAAAAUAUAUUAAUUAUUUUUUUUAUUAAAUUUGAAAACUCAAUCAUUUUGAGUUGAGUCGAACAACACUUUAAUUUUUUAAAGAUAAAUAUCAAAACUAUAUAUUAACUCUGAUUCAAUGUGUAAUAUGUCAUACAUGAACAUUGAUUUCGUCAUUACUAAUAUUAUUGAAUCUGCAGUUUUACUCUCAUAUACUGCAGACACAAGCAAUUAUAUUAAUCCAAUAUGAAAAUAAAUGUAUGUACUCAUUUCUUUAAAUGUAUACCAUUGAAUUACAAUAAAAUUUUCAUAUAUACAUAUGAACUACAAAUCAAGUUUCAUGUAUAUAAUUGUAUAGAAUCAAAAUUUUAAUUUGAUAUUUAUUUUAUUUUUAAUUUUAAUUUCAAAAAAACUUCAUAAAAUAAAGACAAUAUAGUGAUUAUAAAGUCAAUAUCCCUAUUUUCCCUCCUUUUAUACGUACACAAGUGGAUGAAACAAUUUAAUGUUAUACAAGUGGAGGAGAGUUGUGAGGUAUCAAAGACGGCAUCGACUUUGGUCUUUGGUCAAUGCUUUAUGUGACCAUUGGAUUUCCAAUCUGGUGGCUAGUUUUUCGCUAUAAAAAGAAGCUUGGAUGCCACUGCCAGUUAGUGUAAAGGAAUGAACAACAUUAUUUGGCAUCAAUUUUUAAAAUCGAUGGCUUCAAGAUUUAAGCUUGUUUCUGCACUCUCUUUGUUGCUUCUUCUGUUAGGUAUUCUCAUAUUUUCUUUUCUCUUUUUUUUCAUAGUAUUUAUUUCUCAAUUGGUCAAUAUAUUAACGUCAUGUUCAAGAUUUUAAUUAUAUGUAAUAUUUGUGCUUAAUUCUUUUGUUGGUAUGACCUCUAUCUAAAAAUUUUAUUAGAUCCUGUCUCUCUUUUGCUUAAUUUUAGGAGCAAAAUUUGAUUAAGUGGAAAGAGUCAAAGAAUACAGACUGAACCAUUUUAGAGUCAAUGAACCUAAUUACACACAAGUAAACGAAACAAUAUAAUAUUGUGAGGUCAUUGGUCAAUCAUCAAUGUGCCUUAAAGAAGGAAGAUAGUUUGGCGGUAGCUAUUGGAUUUCAUACACAAUGGGCCGUCCAUGGCUUCAAGAUUCAAGCUUUUAGCCAUCUUUUCUUCUAUUCAUAUUUGCUUAGACCAUUCUAUUUUCCAGGCUUUUAAUCUCUGGUUUUGAGUAAACAAUCUCAGCUUUUCUGAGUACUCUGCUUGUGUUGUGUCCUUUCAUUCUUUUCCCUCUUUCUUAUAAUAACAGAUGGGAUAUAUGUAAAUUUUCAAAAUGUCUGAAUCGUUUCAUUUAUCAGAUAUCUCAAUAUAUAUAUAAUUAUUUUAUUAUGUAAAUUCGUAUUAAUAUUUGUAGAAUAUCUGAAUUUAAAUCAAAUAUCAAAAUUCAAUUUCGAUGGGCAGAUUUUUGUAGGGGAAGCAACGUUGGAGUUGACUAUGGAAUGGAUGCUGAUAACCUUCCAUCCCCUGAUCAAGUAGCACAAUUGGUUCGAAAUCACAACAUUCAGUACCUUAGGAUUUAUAAUUACAGACCCGAAGUGUUGAAGGCCUUUUCAAACACCGGUAUUGAACUUAUGGUGGGAGUUCCUAAUGCAGACUUAUCACAAUUCCAGUCCCAACCAUAUGUAGAUUCCUGGCUGAGGACUAGCAUCCUCCCGUACUACCCAGCCACAAAGAUCACCCACAUUACUGUAGGUGUUGAAGUGACUAAUUACCCAGAUAAUACCGCCAACUUGGUUGUGCCCGCCAUGAGAAAUGUCGUCUCAGCAUUGAAAUCGGCCAACCUGCAAGGUAAAAUCAAGGUUUCAACUCCACUCUCCUUUGGGGUUUUAUCCAAAUCCUUCCCACCUUCCGAAGGGGCAUUUAACAGUGGCUAUGAAAAUGUCUUGAGACUUUUGUUGGACUUCCUAGAAGAGAACCAAUCACCUUUUAUGGUCAAUUUAUAUCCUAUUUACGCUAUUGGAGCUUCUUCUUUGGAUGCUGUUCUGUUUAAGUCACCCUCUACGAUUUUCGUAGAUCAGCAUACCGGUCUUAGUUACAAGAACAUUUUUGAUGCUCAGCUAGACGCUGUUUUUUACGCCAUUGCCAAUCGGAAUUUCAGAACAACUAGGAACACAUUUGAUGCUCAGCCAGAUACUGUUCAUUUUACCUUGGCCAAUACGAAUUCGAGAAUAAACGACAUUAUUGUUACGGAAACCGGCUGGCCUACACAUGGUUCUAGGCCACCACAUGCUAGUACUCACAAUGCCAAGACUUAUAACUAUGGUGCUAGUCUUGACAGUGUCGACGACUACGC